GGAUCGAGGAAUCGGUCAUGCCUUGGUAUGUACUGGUUUUAUUGGUUCUCACCUUCUAAAGAACCAUAAUGUCAUUUAUUUGAUGUUAUGGGGAAUCAGGACUGUUACUUUGAAAAAAUUAGAGUGUUUAAAGCAGGCUCACGCUUGAAUACAUUAGCAUGGAAUAACGAAAUAGGACGCUUGAUUUUAUUUUGUUGGUUUCUAGGAUCGACGUA
rnacentral:rRNA from 1 species